GACGAACGCUGGCGGCGUGCUUAACACAUGCAAGUCGAACGGUGAAGCGCCUUCCUUUUUGGUGGGUGUGGAUGAGUGGCGAACGGGUGAGUAACACGUGAGUAACCUGCCCCCUUCUUCUGGAUAACCGCAUGAAAGUGUGGCUAAUACGGGAUAUUCUGGGUCUGUCGCAUGAUGGGUCUGGGAAAGAUAUUGUUUCGGUGGGGGAUGGGCUCGCGGCCUAUCAGCUUGUUGGUGGGGUGAUGGCCUACCAAGGCGGUGACGGGUAGCCGGCCUGAGAGGGUGGACGGUCACACUGGGACUGAGACACGGCCCAGACUCCUACGGGAGGCAGCAGUGGGGAAUAUUGCACAAUGGGCGCAAGCCUGAUGCAGCGACGCCGCGUGAGGGAUGGAGGCCUUCGGGUUGUGAACCUCUUUCGCCAGUGAAGCAGGCCUGCCUCAUUUGUGGGUGGGUUGACGGUAGCUGGAGAAGAAGCGCCGGCUAACUACGUG
rnacentral:rRNA from 1 species